UACGUAGGCAGCAAGCGUUGUUCGGAGUUACUGGGCGUAAAGAGUGCGUAGGCGGUUUUCUAAGUUUGGUGUGAAAUCUCCCGGCUCAACUGGGAGGGUGCGUCGAAGACUGGGAAGCUUGAGUGUGGGAGAGGUAAGCGGAAUUCCUGGUGUAGCGGUGAAAUGCGUAGAUAUCAGGAGGAACACCGGUGGUGUAGACGGCUUACUGGACCACUACUGACGCUGAGGCACGAAAGCGUGGGGAGCAAACAGG
rnacentral:rRNA from 1 species